rnacentral:lncRNA from 1 species
AAAGGUACUUUCUCUCUCUUCCCUUUAUCUCUCCAAGCGUUGUUAGAUUCAUUCGAAACAUUCUUCACCGUUCCGUUCUGCGAUCUCGUCGGGUCAGAGGUUCACGAAGCAACAGAAGGGAAAGGCAGUCGCAGCGACGUCAAAUCCGACAAGGAAUUCCGACGGGGGUCGUGUCGGAGAUCCGAAGGCGAUUCAUCGCGCGGCGAUGAUGGACACGGCGAUGAUGGACACGGCGAAUCUAUCUCGCUCUCAUCGACUUCUGGUUGCGGAUG